rnacentral:rRNA from 1 species
CAGCAGCCGCGGGAAAACGGAGGGAGCUAGCGUUGUUCGGAAUUACUGGGCGUAAAGCGCACGUAGGCGGCUUUGUAAGUUAGAGGUGAAAGCCUGGAGCUCAACUCCAGAAUUGCCUUUAAGACUGCAUCGCUUGAAUCCAGGAGAGGUGAGUGGAAUUCCGAGUGUAGAGGUGAAAUUCGUAGAUAUUCGGAAGAACACCAGUGGCGAAGGCGGCUCACUGGACUGGUAUUGACGCUGAGGUGCGAAAGCGUGGGGAGCAAACAGGAUUAGAUACCCGUGUAGUCCCUGUCUCUUAUAC